UCCAGCAAAGGUGGGAAACGGGAACAC
rnacentral:sRNA from 1 species